rnacentral:rRNA from 1 species
GUACAUACCGGGUGAAACCGCGAAUGGCUCAUUAAAUCAGUUAUGGUUCAUUGGGUGUUACCCAUCCUACUUGGAUACCUGUGGUAAUUCUAGAGCUAAUACAUGCAACUAAGCUUCGACCUUACGGGAGGAGUGCUUUUAUUAGACCAAAACCAAUGCGUGCUUCGGUUCGCAGUGUUUGUGGUGACUCUGGAUAACUUACAGCUGAGCGCACAGUCACCGCACUGGCGCCGUACCUUUCAAGUGUCUGCCUUAUCAGCUUUCGAUUGUAGGCUAUGCGCCUACAAUGGCUAUAACGGGUAACGGGGAAUCAGGGUUCGAUUCCGGAGAGGGAGCCUGAGAAACGGCUACCACAUCUAAGGAAGGCAGCAGGCACGCAAAUUACCCAUUCCCAGCUCGGGGAGGUAGUGACGAAAAAUAACGAUGCGGGACUCUUCCGAGGCUUCGCAAUCGGAAUGAGUUCACUUUAAAUCCUUGUACAAGGAUCAAUUGGAGGGCAAGUCUGGUGCCAGCAGCCGCGGUAAUUCCAGCUCCAAUAGCGUAUAUUAAAGUUGUUGCGGUUAAAAAGCUCGUAGUUGAAUUUAAGUUUACUUUGAAAAAAUUAGAGUGCUCAAAGCAGGCUAUCGCCUGAAUAGUUGUGCAUGGAAUGAUGGAAUAGGACCUCGGUACUAUUUUGUUGGUUUUAAGUACCCGAGGUAAUGAUUAAUAGAGACGGACGGGGGCAUUCGUAUUGCGACGCUAGAGGUGAAAUUCUUGGACCGUCGCAAGACGCACUACUGCGAAAGCAUUUGCCCAGAACGUUCUCAUUAAUCAAGAACGAAAGUUAGAGGUUCGAAGGCGAUCAGAUACCGCCCUAGUUCUAACCCUAAACGAUGCCAACUAGCAAUCCGAUUGUGUUAAUCCCAUGACUGAUCGGGCAGCUUCCGGGAAACCAAAGUCUUUGAGUUCCGGGGGAAGUAUGGUUGCAAAGCUGAAACUUAAAGGAAUUGACGGAAGGGCACCACCAGGAGUGGAGCCUGCGGCUUAAUUUGACUCAACACGGGAAACCUCACCAGGCCCGGACACUGGAAGGAUUGACAGAUUGAUAGCUCUUUCUUGAUUCGGUGGGUGGUGGUGCAUGGCCGUUCUUAGUUGGUGGAGCGAUUUGUCUGGUUAAUUCCGAUAACGAACGAGACUCUAGCCUGCUAAAUAGAGCUUCUUAGAGGGAUAAGCGGCAUUUAGCCGCACGAGAUUGAGCAAUAACAGGUCUGUGAUGCCCUUAGAUGUUCUGGGCCGCACGCGCGCUACACUGAAGGGAUCAGCGUGUCCGCCCUCUCCGAGAGGAGUGGGUAACCCGUUGAAACCCCUUCGUGAUAGGGAUUGGGGCUUGAAAUUCUUCCCCAUCAACGAGGAAUUCCCAGUAAGCGCAAGUCAUUAGCUUGCGUUGAUUACGUCCCUGCCCUUUGUACACACCGCCCGUCGCUACUACCGAUUGAAUGAUUUAGUGAGGGCUUCGGACUGGCGCCCAUUGCUGUCUCACCGACAGCUUCGGGCUCGCCGGAAAGAUGUCCAAACUUGAUUAUUUAGAGGAAGUAAAAGUCGUAACAAGG